GUGUUCUCACUCAGGCAUCAUGUGUGCCCAAAGUAGAAUGAUCAGGGAAUGUUAAUAUGGCCCCUGCUCAUGUGUGACGUGAAUUUAUGAAGCAUUCCAUAUUUUG
ensembl:snRNA predicted gene, 54952